AUUGAACGCUGGCGGCAGGCCUAACACAUGCAAGUCGAGCGGAUGAAGGGAGCUCGCUCCUGGAUUCAGCGGCGGACGGGUGAGUAAUGCCUAGGAAUCUGCCUGGUAGUGGGGGAUAACGUCCGGAAACGGGCGCUAAUACCGCAUACGUCCCGAGGGAGAAAGUGGGGGAUCUUCGGACCUCACGCUAUCAGAUGAGCCUAGGUCGGAUUAGCUAGUUGGUGGGGUAAAGGCCUACCAAGGCGACGAUCCGUAACUGGUCUGAGAGGAUGAUCAGUCACACUGGAACUGAGACACGGUCCAGACUCCUACGGGAGGCAGCAGUGGGGAAUAUUGGACAAUGGGCGAAAGCCUGAUCCAGCCAUGCCGCGUGUGUGAAGAAGGUCUUCGGAUUGUAAAGCACUUUAAGUUGGGAGGAAGGGCAGUAAGUUAAUACCUUGCUGUUUUGACGUUACCAACAGAAUAAGCACCGGCUAACUUCGUG
rnacentral:rRNA from 1 species